AUUGAACGCUGGCGGUAGGCCUAACACAUGCAAGUCGAACGGCAGCACAGUAAUAGCUUGCUCUUACGGGUGGCGAGUGGCGGACGGGUGCGGAAUACAUCGGAAUCUACUUUUUCGUGGGUGAUAACGUAGGGAAACUUACGCUAAUACCGCAUACGACCUACGGGUGAAAGCAGGGGAUCUUCGGACCUUGCGCGAUUGAAUGAGCCGAUGUCGGAUUAGCUAGUUGGCGGGGUAAAGGCCCACCAAGGCGACGAUCCGUAGCUGGUCUGAGAGGAUGAUCAGCCACACUGGAACUGAGACACGGUCCAGACUCCUACGGGAGGCAGCAGUGGGGAAUAUUGGACAAUGGGCGCAAGCCUGAUCCAGCCAUGCCGCGUGGGUGAAGAAGGCCUUCGGGUUGUAAAGCACUUUUGUUGGGAAAGAAAAGCAGCAGGUUAAUACCCCGCUGUUCUGACGGUACCAAAAGAAUAAGCACCGGCUAACUUCGUG
rnacentral:rRNA from 1 species